AACGCACAUUGCGCCCAUUAGUAUUCUAGUGGGCAUGCCUGUUCGAGCGUCAUUUCGACUAUUAAGCCCUGCUUAGCAUUGGGAGUCCGCGCUUACCCGGUAGCGGUUCCUUAAAAUCUUCGGCGGAUCUGUGGAGUCCUCUGAGCGUAGUAGAUUAUUUCUCGCUUCUGUAGGCCCCGCGGCCCCUGCCGUAAAACCCCCCAAUUCAAGUGGUUGACCUCGGAUCAGGUAGGAAUACCCGCUGAACUUAA
rnacentral:misc_RNA from 1 species